rnacentral:lncRNA from 10 species
CCAAAGUGCUGGGAUUAUAGGUGUGAGCCAUCGCGCCUGGCCUCCCUCUCCAUUUUAAACACAUAUAUUCUCCCAAACCAAAAAGAAUUUUUGCAUAGAGGAUGGAGUAUGAAACUGUUCUAAAAUGUGUAGACAUAUAUUUUUAAACAUAAUUUAUGUUAAUAAAGGAGCAAUUGACUCUUGCCAAAUUUUUCAUGAUUCUUGGCAACAAUUUUAAAUCAUUUCUCAAAUUCUAAAUUUACUUCAGCAUGACCAAACACCUACCGUUGCUUAAAAAAAAAAAAAAAGGCUAAACAAGAAGGUGCUACUUUUGAAGCAACAUCAAAGGAAAGAUAAAAUAUUAUUAAGUUGGGGUAGUGACACACGUCUAGACAUCAUUAUAUGUUUAAAGAAAACAACAAAAACAGUGCUAAAAGAAACCAAUCAAUCCUCACACUUCAUCUUCAAAAUCAUGCCAGAAAUACUUCUAUCCUGGUAUAAGAGUUGGUAGAACCUGGAAGGGCAGGAAGGGUGUGGUCCAGCCACUUAGGCUCUGGCUCUGAACUCAGGCCUGGGGGCCUAAUAAGGGUGCCUUUUAUUUUUCUGUAAACCUCUACCUCCAAGUACAAAUGACUAAUCAAAAGUGUAACCAUAGGCCAGGCGUGGAGGCAGCCUACUGUAAUCCCAGCUACUUGGGAGGCUGAGGCAGAACUGCUUGAACCUGGGAGGUGGAGGCUGCAGUGAGCUGAGAUCGUGCCAUUGCACUCCAGCCUGGGCAACAAGAGCGAAACUCUGUCUCAAACAAAACAAAACACAAAGAACCCAAAGUGUAACCCUACGUAGAAAAAAAAAAUCACUUGGCUGUCCCUCUGGGUCCUAUCUGAAUAGAAAAGUACUGUCAGUGUACCCUGGGGAUUUGGUCAUUUAUUUGGAAAAUACUCUUGAUGUAUUAUUAUAAUUCACAAAUCACCUUCCCCGCCAAAAUCUCAUUUGGUAACAACUUCGUAUAGUAGAAAAGGUAUGCAUUAUCCCUAUUUUACAGAUGAAAACACUGAGAGUCAGAAAUUAAAUGAUUUGCCCCGUUACACAGCUAGCGAGUGAUGGGAGUAAGAUGGCAAACCUAGGACCUCUGCUAAUCUAGUGAUUGUCCCAGGAGGCCACAUGACGUUCGCCUGGAAGGGCUCUGGAGCGCAGGAACAUUUUCGGUAUCCUCUGAACGGGCUAAAUGGAGGUCCUUCCAGUCUGGGCCCUGACAAACACUGGAUGGAGUGUGGCAACGGUCAGGAAAAUAUGAUUCACCAACAUCCAUCUCCGAUGCCUAAUCAUGUUGUUAACAAACAGUUCUGCUAUUAAGGGUGAGGUGACGAGAGAACAUGUGCCUGGGUUUAGGUAUUAAUGGCACUGAACCUUCUCAAGAAUUUAAUAAAUGAAACAACUAGGGCUCAAGGGUGAAGUGACUUCCUGAGCAAAGGGAAUUUACCGAGUUUCCUCUCAUAAAACCUGAGCUGAUUUCGUCAUUCCCACAUUUCAACAAUAGUAUGAUGGCAGGGUUUAUAUACUCAACCUAAGUUUAGACUACAAAAUCAUUUU